UACGGGGGGGGCAAGCGUUGUUCGGAAUCACUGGGCGUAAAGGGUGCGUAGGCGGCCAACUAAGUCAGACGUGAAAUCCCUCGGCUUAACCGGGGAACUGCGUCUGAUACUGGAUGGCUUGAGUUUGGGAGAGGGAUGCGGAAUUCCAGGUGUAGCGGUGAAAUGCGUAGAUAUCUGGAGGAACACCGGUGGCGAAGGCGGCAUCCUGGACCAACACUGACGCUGAGUGAGCGAAAGCCAGGGGAGCAAACGGG
rnacentral:rRNA from 1 species